rnacentral:misc_RNA from 1 species
GAUGAAGAACGUAGCGAAAUGCGAUAAGUAAUGUGAAUUGCAGAAUUCAGUGAAUCAUCGAAUCUUUGAACGCACAUUGCGCCCGCCAGUAUUCUGGCGGGCAUGCCUGUUCGAGCGUCAUUUCAACCAUCAAGCCCCAGGCUUGUGUUGGAGCCCUGCGGCUGCCGCAGCCUCCCAAAACCAGUGGCGGGCUCGCUAUCACACCGAGUGCAGUAGUUUACUCUUCGCUCAGGGCGUGUGGCGGGUGCUAGCCGUGAAACCCCCAACUUCUCAAGGUUGACCUCGGAUCAGGUAGGAAUACCCGGUGAACUUAAGCAUAUCAAUAAGCGGAGGA